rnacentral:rRNA from 1 species
UACGAAGGGUGCAAACGUUAUUCGGAAUCACUGGGCGUAAAGGGUGCGUAGACGGUAUGUUAAGUUCGUUGUUAAAGGCUCCGGCCUAACCGGAGUACCGCAAUGAAAACUGGCGUGCUAGAGGGUGAGAGAGAGAAGUGGAAUUCCCGGAGUAGCGGUAAAAUGCGUGGAUCUCGGGAGGAACACCAAUGGCGAAGGCAGCCUUUUGGCUCAUUCCUGACGUUGAGGCACGAAAGCGUGGGGAGCAAACAGG